rnacentral:rRNA from 1 species
GACGGAGGAUGCAAGCGUUAUCCGGAAUGAUUGGGCGUAACGCGUCCGCAGGUGGCAGUUCAAGUCUGCUGUCAAAGACCGGGGCUUAACUUCGGAAAGGCAGUGGAAACUGAACAGCUAGAGUAUGGUAGGGGCAGAGGGAAUUCCUGGUGUAGCGGUGAAAUGCGUAGAGAUCAGGAAGAACAUCGGUGGCGAAGGCGCUCUGCUGGACCAUAACUGACACUCAGGGACGAAAGCUAGGGGAGCGAAUGGG